rnacentral:rRNA from 1 species
AAACUUUACAAACUCUUCUGUAUCGUCCCCUCGCGGAUGAAUGUCUUUUAUCUCUGAACAAUCUCGGCGCUCCUAGCGGGGUGUUCGAAAAUCAAUCAAAACUUUCAACAACGGAUCUCUUGGUUCUGGCAUCGAUGAAGAACGCAGCGAAAUGCGAUAAGUAAUGUGAAUUGCAGAAUUCAGUGAAUCAUCGAAUCUUUGAACGCACAUUGCGCCCGCCAGUAUUCUGGCGGGCAUGCCUGUCCGAGCGUCAUU